GGGUUCUACCGUUGGUCGGGCUAUAGUCUGUACUGGCGUGUGGAAUUUCUACCUUCUGGGGAACUAUCAUGUUAUUAAUUUAGCGUGGUAGGAAACCAGAACCUUUACCUUGAAAAAAUUAGAGUGUUCAAAGCAGGCGUAACUCGCCUCCGAAUACGUUAGCAUGGGAUAAUGGAAUAC
rnacentral:rRNA from 1 species